rnacentral:rRNA from 1 species
UACGGGGGGAGCAAGCGUUGUUCGGAUUUACUGGGCGUAAAGGGCGCGUAGGCGGCGUGACAAGUCACUUGUGAAAUCUCCGGGCUUAACUCGGAACGGUCAAGUGAUACUGUCGUGCUAGAGUACAGAAGGGGCAACUGGAAUUCUCGGUGUAGCGGUGAAAUGCGUAGAUAUCGACAGGAACACCUGCGGCGAAGGCGGGUUGCUGGGCUGAUACUGACGCUGAGGCGCGAAAGCCAGGGGAGCGAACGGG